UAGUGAUUUGCUUUUGCGGAGCCACGAACUUUUCCGUGUUCUCUAGAACAUGUCGCGGAUCUACUGUGUUCUUGAGACCUGAAACUAUCUGACGGAAUGACUACAUGGUCCAAAAUGGUCACUUCAACUUUUCGUGUAGGUUUGGAGAGCGAUUAGUGCCCAUAGGGAUUCCUUGCGAUACCCAAAACGUGGCGCACCACUUCCCUUCUUUUGCAAAUAAUGACGACGUAGAGGGGAAAGGAUUCCACUAGAUGCGCUGUAUAUAGUACUCUAUGUGAUUCCUUGUGUGUUCUUUUUCUUGUUCACGGAAGAUUAUGUUGCAGUUGGAGCAUUCGUCACCUUCGAUUGCUUGUGAAAACAGCACUCACCGUCCUCGACGUUUACCCAACAGGUGGCCGCUACAAGGAGAAGCGUCACUUGACCCAUCUCGUU
rnacentral:lncRNA from 1 species